rnacentral:rRNA from 1 species
CCAGAGAACUUAGCAGAGAUGCUUUGGUGCCUUCGGGAACUCUGAGACAGGUGCUGCAUGGCUGUCGUCAGCUCGUGUUGUGAAAUGUUGGGUUAAGUCCCGCAACAAGCGCAACCCUUAUCCUUUGUUGCCAGCGGCUCGGCCGGGAACUCAAAGGAGACUGCCGGUGAUAAACCGGAGGAAGGUGGGGAUGACGUCAAGUCAUCAUGGCCCUUACGGCCAGGGCUACACACGUGCUACAAUGGCGCAUACAAAGAGAAGCGACCUCGCGAGAGCAAGCGGACCUCACAAAGUGCGUCGUAGUCCGGAUUGGAGUCUGCAACUCGACUCCAUGAAGUCGGAAUCGCUAGUAAUCGUAGAUCAGAAUGCUACGGUGAAUACGUUCCCGGGCCUUGUACACACCGCCCGUCACACCAUGGGAGUGGGUUGCAAAAGAAGUAGGUAGCUUAACCUUCGGGAGGGCGCUUACCACUUUGUGAUUCAUGACUGGGGUGAAGUCGUAACAAGGUAGGCGUAGCGAG